rnacentral:lncRNA from 1 species
CCUAACCAGGGCCCUCCUCCACAAGUUCCAGUAUCUCCUGGACCACCAAAGGACAGUUCUGCCCCUGGACCAAUAAAACGGGCCAUUUUCAGAUGGUAUGGAAAUGGCAUUUCAUUUGGAAAUAGCAGAGCAGUUAUCUGAUUAAGCAGGAGUUCCAUAUUCAAUUAGCCAUAACUCUUUACAGCUGGCACCUUGUGAUACUGAAACCUAUUUCUUGAGCUCAUUUAACUGUUAUGGCUUCUUUGUUUAAAUAGCAAUAAAACUUUGUAUUAUUCUGUAGCCAACAGUACAGCAUAUCUUUUUAUAUUCAACUUUAGAAUGGCUCCAGAUUUAUAUAAAACAGGGAUAGAAGAAAACACUUUUGGAAUGUAUUGAUGUUUUUUGCUAAACUCCAUACAUAUAUUUUUAAACAUGGCAACAUAUUUCAGGAAUAAUACUCCUGUAUUGUAUGCUUUUGUUAAUGUGGGCUAGUAGAUUUUUUUUUUUAAGGC